rnacentral:lncRNA from 1 species
UCUCAUCCUCAUCCAAUAUCACCCUCUUGUUUCUUCAAAGACCAUGUAGAUUUCCACCAAUUCCAGAUUUGAAAAACCUAGAAACCCUAGAUUUUUUCCCUUUUUUGAUUCUUCAAAUUUCAAGGUUCGAUUCAAGCUGAAAAUUACAUUAAUCUAUUGUUCUCAAUGUUAAUUUCAGUUCGUAUCGAAGCUAUCAGAAUCAAGGCGAGCUUCCUGGAUUUGCUUCAAAGUGAAUCAUUUUCUUUUCAUUAGGUACAUACUCACUUUGUUCUAUCUCUUUGUGUUUUUCAUUUGUUUUUUUAAAAAGAAAGAAAGAAAAAGAGUAGAGGAAUCGUAGGUCUAGGUGUUUAAUUGAAAUUAUUUGCUGAGUUUUUAAAUUAGCUUAAUUAGGUUGGGUUAGCUCAUUAAUUAGUUAACUAACAGUAGAUUAACAUUUGGCUUAAUAUAUUUGUUUUAAGUAUUCACAUGUUGGAUUUGUUUUAGUGCGUUGUGUGAUUUAGAAAUUUAAUUGCAUGAUAAUUAGUCUUAAUUAUUGAGUUAAUUAGAUUUAUUUUGCUUCAUUGUUUCUUGGGAUUGAUCCGUGUGAUUUUUUUUUGUUAUGGCUCAUUUGUAAUUAACAAAAACUAAAAGGUUUAAUUGAAAAUCAAAAAUAGGAAAUAUUAGAUAGGCAUAUAGGAACCUUCUGGAUAAUGGACAACUGUCCAAAGUUGAUAAGAAAAAGAUGCUGAAAAUUGGAUAAAACAUCUGAAAAGGAUAGCUGUACAAAAAUUGAUUAAAAAGAUGCUCUUGUUUCCUUUUUUUUUUACGGCUGAUAGACUCCCUUUGAUAUUCCUUCAUUCAUUUUUCUAUAUAUAGGGAUACAGACUGAAUUCUGGGGGACAUAUACUCACUCCCAUUCUCACUGAUUUCUCUAAAAAAACACUCUAAAAAAUCCAAUUGGAAUACAAAAAAAAAAAGAUUCAAAGUUGCCUUUUUUCUAAGUUCUCUACUGAAUCUGUUUCACUUGGCUGGGAUCUCGAGCUGUAUUCAAGCUUAAGAAACUGCUCGUUUAACUUAAAUUUUGUUGCUGUUUAUUGCUGGCUUGAUUUUCAUCUUUCAUCUUUGUAUCAUCAAAAGUUCAUUGGUUCUAUCUAUAGGUACGUGGAAUUUUUUAUGUUAUUCUCUUUUGAAUAUGAGAAUGAUGAAUGAACUGUUGUUUCCAUAAGCAUGUUUUAAACUUCUAAUGUUGUUUAUCAGAUCUGUUUGUUCUGUUCUGUUCAUGAAUUUGUAUCCUUAAGCUAAAUUUAAACUAAAAUCAUCUGCUACUUCAAAGACUUCAUAUGUUGAUCCACUAUCUGGUUUGACCUUCACAUCAGUAUGCUUAAAUAUAUUGCAUUAAAAUAGAUUUUACUCUUUCCCUCAUUUGAAAUUUAGUUUGGUUUGCCCAUCUCAUCAAUCAUUCUUGAAAGAACACUUAUUGAGUUAAAAUUUAUCAGUUAUUAAAUUUGAUCACUAGUUGGUCAAAAUUUGAUGAUUGAGAAGGUCCAGGCAACGUUGAAGUGCAUCAAUUGAUAGUCUUGCCUUUCUAUGAGCAAUAAGGGGAAUCUAAGAAUUAUGACAGAGGCGUUCUAAUAUUUUAGCUGUUAAGGUUGUAUUUGAUAGAGUAGUCACUGUGAUGUACUAUUUUAUUUUUUUUUUUAAAUUCCAGUAGAUUCGAAGUUUGGUUUUUUGUCCCUUUUGUAAUAUGUUCAGUUUUGAGAGAGUAGUACCCUAGAUUGAUUUGACUUCUGGAAUGUAUGAAAUCUGAUUUGGAACUCUUAUAUUGCUAUCAUUGUUUAGUUACUCUUCAAUUCUUGAUUGUCGUUUGGAUUUGCAUAGUCGUAUGCGAUUCUAGGCUGUUGAGUCGCCUUGACCAAGGCAUUAAGCCCAAAAGUGAUUUAAUUAGAUUAGGUAAUGUUAGAAGAGUUCACAUGGACUCAUUACAAGCUAUGGGCUACCUGAGAA